CAUGUGAAAACGAAGAACCUUACCCGGGUUUGACAUGGACGGAAAUCCGGCAGAGAUGUCGGGUCCUUCGGGACCGUUCACAGGUGGUGCAUGGCUAUAAUAAAGCUCGUGUCGUGAGAUGUUGGGUUAAGUCCCGCAACGAGCGCAACCCUUGUCCGAUGUUGCCAGCGGGUUAUGCCGGGGACUCAUAGGAGACUGCCGGGGUCAACUCGGAGGAAGGUGGGGAUGACGUCAAGUCAUCAUGCCCCUUAUGUCCAGGGCUUCACCCAUGCUACAAUGGCCGGUACAAAGGGCUGCGAAACCGUGAGGUGGAGCGAAUCCCAAAAAGCCGGUCUCAGUUCGUUUUUUUUGUCUGCAACUCCACCCCGUGAAGUCGGAGUCGCUAGUAAUCGCAUAUUUUUUUUUUCUGCGGUGAAUACGUUCGCGGGUCUUGUACACACGCAA
rnacentral:rRNA from 1 species